CUACGGGCGGCAGCAGGCGCGAAAACUUUACAAUGCAGGAAACUGUGAUAAGGGAACCCCGAGUGCCCGUACACGCGGGCUGUCUGGGUGUUUAAAAUGCACCCAAAGAAAGGGCCGGGCAAGACCGGUGCCAGCCGCCGCGGUAAUACCGGCGGCUCGAGUGGUGACCACUUUUAUUGGGCUUAAAGCGUUCGUAGCUGGACUGUUAAGUCCCUUGGGAAAUCCGCCGGCUCAACCGGCGGGCGUCUAAGGGAUACUGGCAGUCUAGGGACCGGGAGAGGUAAGAGGUACUCCGGGGGUAGGAGUGAAAUCCUGUAAUCCCCGGGGGACCACCUGUGGCGAAGGCGUCUUACCAGAACGGCUCCGACAGUGAGGAACGAAAGCUGGGGGAGCGAACCGGAUUAGAUACCCCCGUAGUC
rnacentral:rRNA from 1 species